rnacentral:rRNA from 1 species
CCUACGGGAGGCAGCAGUAGGGAAUAUUGGGCAAUGGAGGCAACUCUGACCCAGCCAUGCCGCGUGCAGGAAGAAGGCGUUAUGCGUUGUAAACUGCUUUUAUAUAGGAAGAAAUAGUCCUUGCGAGGAAAGUUGACGGUACUAUAUGAAUAAGCACCGGCUAACUCCGUGCCAGCAGCCGCGGUAAUACGGAGGGUGCAAGCGUUGUCCGGAUUUAUUGGGUUUAAAGGGUGCGUAGGCGGUUUAUUAAGUCAGUGGUGAAAGACGGUCGCUCAACGAUUGCAGUGCCAUUGAUACUGGUAGACUUGAGUGGGAUUGAGGUAGCUGGAAUGGAUAGUGUAGCGGUGAAAUGCAUAGAUAUUAUCCAGAACACCAAUUGCGUAGGCAAGUUACUAAGUCUCAACUGACGCUGAGGCACGAAAGUGUGGGUAUCAAACAGGAUUAGAUACCCUGGUAGUCCACACUGUAAACGAUGAUAACUAACUGUUGGCUUUCGGGGUCUAGUGUACGAGAGAAUACGUUAAGUUAUUACCACCGUGGGUAGGUACGGCCGGCCGACGGUAGUAAACGUUAAAGUUAGUAAGUUAGUACGGCGUGAGACGUGACCGACGGACGACGACGAGGGAGGUUAGG